rnacentral:rRNA from 1 species
AACGAACGCUGGCGGCAUGCCUAACACAUGCAAGUCGAACGAGACCUUCGGGUCUAGUGGCGCACGGGUGCGUAACGCGUGGGAACCUGCCCUUAGGUUCGGAAUAACUCCCCGAAAGGGGUGCUAAUACCGGAUAAUGUCUUCGGACCAAAGAUUUAUCGCCUUUGGAUGGGCCCGCGUUGGAUUAGCUAGUUGGUAGGGUAAAUGCCUACCAAGGCGACGAUCCAUAGCUGGUCUGAGAGGAUGAUCAGCCACACUGGGACUGAGACACGGCCCAGACUCCUGCGGAAGGCAGCAAUGCGGAUUCUGGAACGCGGGGCGAGGGAAGAAGCCAGCAGUGCCGCGUGAGUGUUGAGGGCGUUAGGAAAGUAAAGCUCUUUUACCCGGGAUGAGAUGAAGGGAACCGAAGGAUAAGGCCCCGCCAACCUCGUG